rnacentral:rRNA from 1 species
GACGAACGCUGGCGGCGUGCUUAACACAUGCAAGUCGAGCGGAAAGGCCCUUCGGGGUACUCGAGCGGCGAACGGGUGAGUAGCACGUGAGUAAUCUGCCCUUCACUCUGGGAUAGCCACCGGAAACGGUGAUUAAUACCGGAUAUGACCACCGUGGGCAUCCACUGGUGGUGGAAACUUUUUUGGGUGGGGGAUGUGCUCGCGGCCUAUCAGCUUGUUGGUGGGGUAAUGGCCUACCAAGGCUUCGACGGGUAGCCGGCCUGAGAGGGUGACCGGCCACACUGGGACUGAGACACGGCCCAGACUCCUACGGGAGGCAGCAGUGGGGAAUAUUGGACAAUGGGCGGAAGCCUGAUCCAGCAACGCCGCGUGAGGGAUGACGGCCUCGGGUUGUAAACCUCUUUCAGCACCGACGAAGCGCAAGUGACGGUAGGUGCAGAAGAAGGACCGGCCAACUACGUGCCAGCAGCCGCGGUAAAAC